GCCUCGGUAGCGCAGUAGGCAGCGCGGUCAGUCUCAUAAUCUGAAGGUCGUGAGGUUCGAUCCUCACCCGGGGCA
rnacentral:tRNA from 1 species